rnacentral:rRNA from 1 species
GUCUGAUGGAGCAACGCCGCGUGAGUGAAGAAGGUUUUCGGAUCGUAAAGCUCUGUUGUUGGGGAAGAAGGAUAGAGGUAGUAACUGGCCUUUAUUUGACGGUAAUCAACCAGAAAGUCACGGCUAACUACGUGCCAGCAGCCGCGGUAAUACGUAGGGGGCAAGCGUUAUCCGGAUUUACUGGGUGUAAAGGGAGCGUAGACGGCAAGGCAAGUCGGAUGUGAAAACCCAGGGCUUAACCCUGGGACUGCAUUGGAAACUGUCUGGCUCGAGUGCCGGAGAGGUAAGCGGAAUUCCUAGUGUAGCGGUGAAAUGCGUAGAUAUUAGGAGGAACACCAGUGGCGAAAGCGGCUUUCUGGACGACAACUGACGCUGAGGCGCGAAAGCCAGGGGAGCAAACG